GACGAACGCUGGCGGCGUGCCUAAUACAUGCAAGUCGAACGCAGUGGGGACGGGUGAGUAACACGUGGGUAACCUCCCAUCAGAGGGGAUAACACUUGGAAACAGGUGCUAAACUGAUACUGAUGGAUGGACUCGCGGGGCAUUAGCUAGUUGGUGGGGUAACGGCUCACCUAGGCUACGAUGCAUAGCGGGCCUGAGAGGGUGAUCGGCCACACUGGGACUGAGACACGGCCCAGACUCCUACGGGAGGCAGCAGUAGGGAAUAUUCGGCAAUGGACGAAAGUCUGACCGAGCAACGCCGCGUGAGUGAAGAAGGUUUUCGGGUCGUAAAACACUGUUGUUAGAGAGGCGUUAUCUAAACAGAAAGCCACGGCUAACUACGUGCCAGCAGCCGCGGUAAUAC
rnacentral:rRNA from 1 species